AACGAACGCUGGCGGCGCGCCUAAUACAUGCAAGUCGAGCGAGAAGACGUAGCAAUACGUUUGUAAAGCGGCGAACGGGUGAGGAAUACAUGGGUAACCUACCCUCGAGUGGGGAAUAACUAGCCGAAAGGUUAGCUAAUACCGCGUACGCUCCUUGGACUUCGGUUCAGGGAGGAAAGCGAUACCGUGGGUAUCGCGCUCUUGGAUGGGCUCAUGUCCUAUCAGCUUGUUGGUGAGGUAACGGCUCACCAAGGCUUCGACGGGUAGCUGGUCUGAGAGGACGAUCAGCCACACUGGCACUGCGACACGGGCCAGACUCCUACGGGAGGCAGCAGUAAGGAAUAUUGCGCAAUGGGCGAAAGCCUGACGCAGCGACGCCGC
rnacentral:rRNA from 1 species